rnacentral:SRP_RNA from 1 species
CCCGGAAGAUCGGGGCGGAUCUAUCGCCAACCCGGUCAGGGCCGAAAGGCAGCAGCCGUAACGAAUUUGGUUCGGGUCCGGUCUUCCACUUUC